rnacentral:rRNA from 1 species
UACGAAGGGGGCUAGCGUUGCUCGGAAUUACUGGGCGUAAAGGGCGCGUAGGCGGGUCGUUUAGUUAGAGGUGAAAGCCCAGGGCUCAACCCUGGAAUUGCCUUUAAUACUGGCGGCCUUGAGUAUGGCAGAGGUGUGUGGAACUCCGAGUGUAGAGGUGAAAUUCGUAGAUAUUCGGAAGAACACCAGUGGCGAAGGCGACACACUGGGCCAUUACUGACGCUGAGGUGCGAAAGCGUGGGGAGCAAACAGG